UACAGAGGUCUCAAGCGUUGUUCGGAUUCACUGGGCGUAAAGGGUGCGCAGGCGGCGGUGCGCGUGGCGAGAUGAAAUCUCCUGGCUUACCUGGGAGGGUGGUCGCCAGACGGCAUCGCUUGAGGGUCGGAGAGGGAUGCGGAAUUCCUGGUGUAGCGGUGGAAUGCGCAGAUAUCAGGAAGAACACCAACGGCGAAGGCAGCUCGCUGGGACGGAACUGACGCUGAGGCGCGAAAGCGUGGGAGCGAACAGG
rnacentral:rRNA from 1 species